rnacentral:rRNA from 1 species
AGAGUUUGAUCCUGGCUCAGAACGAACGCUGGCGGCAUGCCUAACACAUGCAAGUCGAACGAAGAUAUGGCUUCGGCCAUAGACUGAGUGGCGCACGGGUGAGUAACGCGUAGGAAUUUACCUUUCGGUGGGGGACAACUGAUGGAAACGUCAGCUAAUACCGCAUACGCUCUACGGAGGAAAGAUUUAUUGCCGAAAGAUAAGCCUGCGUUAGAUUAGGUUGUUGGUGAGGUAAAAGCUCACCAAGCCGAUGAUCUAUAGCUGGUCUGAGAGGAUGAUCAGCCACACUGGGACUGAGACACGGCCCAGACUCCUACGGGAGGCAGCAGUGGGGAAUAUUGGACAAUGGGGGCAACCCUGAUCCAGCAAUGCCGCGUGAGUGAAGAAGGCCUUAGGGUUGUAAAACUCUUUCAACUGUGAAGAUGAUGACGGUAACAGUAGAAGAAGCUCCGGCUAACUCCGUGCCAGCAGCCGCGGUAAUACGGAGGGAGCUAGCGUUGUUCGGAAUUACUGGGCGUAAAGCGUACGUAGGCGGUUUUGUAAGUUAGGAGUGAAAUCCCCGGGCUCAACCUGGGAACUGCUCUUAAGACUGCAGAACUUGAGGACGAGAGAGGAAAGUGGAAUUCCAAGUGUAGAGGUGAAAUUCGUAGAUAUUUGGAAGAACACCGGUGGCGAAGGCGACUUUCUGGCUCGUAACUGACGCUGAGGUACGAAAGUGUG